UCAUUUCUUCUCCAGUAUUGUUCUGCUUACAGAGCAUAAAUAAGAGCUUCAAAUAACCCCAGAGUGCUCCUGACAAUGAAACAAAGUGCCGGCCCGAUUUAUCUUUCUCACAUUCUUCAGGAGCCCUUCUCUCCUACACCCACCCCACCUUUUAUUUUGUUGUUGUUGCCGGAACUUAAUAUUUUUUUUUAUUCACUACCCCUAUCAUCAUUCAACAGCUUUGAAUUUCUUCUUCACCCUGAACAUCAGGGCUCAGGAGAGAGCGUGGCAGAGAGAAUAAAAGCAAGAAACUGAAGAAAAGCAAGAAGACCUUUCUAGGAAAAUGUGAAACUGGAAAUCUCUAUGACAGUCACACAGAACCAUCCCCUUUCUUUGGCAUAAUUUGGAAACAAAUUAUUUCAGAUUAGUGGAAGUUUGUCAAUAUUGUGUAGUAUAUUACCUUUUUUUUUCUUUUAACUUCUAGGAAUUUUCAUGGAAAUUUUCCUAAAUUUUAUGACGUAUUUCUCUUCUGCGAAUCAGUUCUGAAGAGUGGGGUUCAGUGGGUUGCUCCCUGUGGCCC
ensembl:lncRNA novel transcript